UAUGAAUUUUAAAAAUUUCAAUAAAAUACAGCAUUUUAUUGAAAUUUUUUAAUUGGGGCGAUUAUUAAAUAUUAAAAACUUUAAUUUUUUAAAAAAGAACCAAUAAUAUUGGUUAUUUGAAAAAAUACUCUAGGGAUAACAGCGUAAUAAUUUUUGAUAGUUCUUAUAGACAAAAUAGUUUGCGACCUCGAUGUUGGAUUAGGAUUCUUUUUUAAUGAAGAAGUUAAAAAAAGAAGUUUGUUCAACUUUUAAAAUCCUACUUGAUCUGGUUCAGACCGGA
rnacentral:rRNA from 1 species